GGGUUACUGCUAUUGGUGUUCGACUAAGCCAUGCAAGUCAUAUGUUCCUCGUAAACAUGGCAUACUGCUCAGUAACACGUGGAUAACCUGCCCUUGGGUCUGGGAUAACCCCGGGAAACUGGGGAUAAUACCGGAUAACGCAUAUGUGCUGGAAUGCUUUAUGCGUAAAACGGAUUCGUCCGCCCAAGGAUGGGUCUGCGGCCUAUCAGGUAGUAGUGGGUGUAAUGUACCUACUAGCCAACAACGGGUACGGGUUGUGAGAGCAAGAGCCCGGAGAUGGAUUCUGAGACAUGAAUCCAGGCCCUACGGGGCGCAGCAGGCGCGAAAACUUUACAAUGCGGGAAACCGUGAUAAGGGAACACCGAGUGCCAGCAUCAUAUGCUGGCUGUCCAGAUGUGUAAACUACAUCUGUUAGCAAGGGCCGGGCAAGACCGGUGCAGCCGCCGCGGUAACACCGGCGGCCCGAGUGGUGACCGUUAUUAUUGGGUCAAAAGGGUCCGUAACCGGUUUGGUCAGUCCUCCGGGAAAUCUGAUAGCUUAACUGUUANGCUUUCGGGGGAUACUGCCAGGCUUGGAACCGGGAGAAGUAAG
rnacentral:rRNA from 1 species